UGGUGUUUGUUUUCCUUUUCCGCUUGUAACGAGCCUAUAUAAUAGGCACCUCUUGAAUUCAAUAAAUGACAGAAGGAGUAUCGUGUUUCAAGCAGAAGCAUUGAGUGCUGUUGUUUCUUCAGUCUAUAUUAAUCCUCUGUUCUUAAAUUGAUUCUGCAGAAUUUCCUUCAAAGUGGUAUCAGAGCCUGGUUCCGUGCAUUGCUGGGCAUAGAAAAGUUGAGUUUUGUUAGAAACACGUAAGGGAGAGGGAGAGUUAUCAGUGUCUUCUGUUUGCAUCAAUGGCAAGUUCAAAUGCAAUGACUGCUUCUCAACCUUUGAUUCCAGU
rnacentral:lncRNA from 1 species